AUUUAUUGGUGUAAAAGCACAAAAAGUUUUGAUCUUUUUAGAAUUGGUGUGAUUCCAUUAUAAAUAAU
rnacentral:tRNA from 1 species